CAGGGGAUAACAUUUGGAAACAAGUGCUAAUACCGUAUAAUACCAACAACCGCAUGGUUGUUGAUUCCAAGAUGGUUCUGCUAUCACUAAGAGAUGGACCCGCGGUGCAUUAGCUAGUUGGUAAGGUAACGGCUUACCAAGGCGAUGAUGCAUAGCCGAGUUGAGAGACUGAUCGGCCACAAUGGGACUGAGACACGGCCCAUACUCCUACGGGAGGCAGCAGUAGGGAAUCUUCCACAAUGGGCGCAAGCCUGAUGGAGCAACGCCGCGUGUGUGAUGAAGGGUUUCGGCUCGUAAAACACUGUUAUAAGAGAAGAACGGCACUGAGAGUAACUGUUGGGUGGGUGACGGUAUCUUACCAGAAAGGAACGGCUAAAUACGUGCCAGCAGCCGCGGUAAUACGUAUGUUCCAAGCGUUAUCCGGAUUUAUUGGGCGUAAAGCGAGCGCAGACGGUUAUUUAAGUCUGAAGUGAAAGCCCUUAGCUCAACUGAGGAAUGGUUUUGGAAACUGGAUGACUUGAGUGCAG
rnacentral:rRNA from 1 species